rnacentral:rRNA from 1 species
CCAACAGGGAUUGCCCUAGUAACGGCGAGUGAAGCGGCAACAGCUCAAAUUUGAAAUCUGGCCCUAGUGGUCCGAGUUGUAAUUUGUAGAGGAUGCUUCUGGUUAGGUGCCUUCUGAGUUCCCUGGAACGGGACGCCAGAGAGGGUGAGAGCCCCGUACGGUUGGACACCGAGCCUAUAUGUAGCUCCUUCGACGAGUCGAGUAGUUUGGGAAUGCUGCUCUAAAUGGGAGGUAAAUUUCUUCUAAAGCUAAAUACCGGCUAGAGACCGAUAGCGCACAAGUAGAGUGAUCGAAAGAUGAAAAGCACUUUGAAAAGAGGGUUAAAUAGCACGUGAAAUUGUUGAAAGGGAAGCGUUUGCGACCAGACCUUCUCCAGGGGGAUCAUCCGGUAUUUACUUACCGGUGCACUUCGCCUGGUGUAGGCCAGCAUCGGUUCUUGUAGGGGGAGAAAAGCCUGGGGAACGUAGCUCUCUAGAGAGUGUUAUAGCCCCUAGCAUAAUACCCCUACGGGGACCGAGGACCGCGCUUCGGCAAGGAUGCUGGCAUAAUGGUCGUCAACGACCCGUCUUGAAACACGGACCAAGGAGUCGAACAUUUGUGCGAGUGUUUGGGUAUAAAACCCUCACGCGUAAUGAAAGUGAACGGAGGUGAGAGCCCUUUGGGGUGCAUCAUCGACCGAUCCUGAUGUCUUCGGAUGGAUUUGAGUAAGAGCAUAACUGUUCGGACCCGAAAGAUGGUGAACUAUGCGUGGAUAGGGUGAAGCCAGAGGAAACUCUGGUGGAGGCUCGCAGCGGUUCUGACGUGCAAAUCGAUCGUCAAAUCUGCGCAUGGGGGCGAAAGUAAGUCAAACACCUACCCUAGAGAGACCUACCCUGAAGGCAGCUACACUGGAGACAGCUAUCCUGUACUUUAGGAUGGGAAUCUCUAUACUAUGCAGUGAGACAAGAUGCUAACAACAAUCUCUUUAGGACUUAUCGAACCAUCUAGUAGCUGGUACG